CUUCCAGUAGCACCUUAGAGACCAACUAAGUUUGUUAUUGGUAUGAGCUUUCGUGUGCAUGCACACUUCUUCAGACAGUAUCUGAAUAACAAUAACAAACUUAGUUGGUCUCUAAGGUGCUACUGGAAG